rnacentral:rRNA from 1 species
UACGUAGGGCGCAAGCGUUGUCCGGAAUUAUUGGGCGUAAAGAGCUCGGUAGGCGGUCUGUCGCGUCGAAUGUGAAAACCCGGGGCUCAACCCCGGGCCUGCAUUCGAUACGGGCAGACUAGAGUUCGGUGAGGGGAGUCGUGGAAUUCCUGGUGUAGCGGUGAAAUGCGCAGAUAUCAGGAGGAACACCGGUGGCGAAGGCGGGUCUCUGGGCCGAUAUUGACGCUGAGGAGCGAAAGCGUGGGGAGCGAACAGG